CUCCGGAGAGCUAUGAUUAAGUCGGAAAGUCCAGCAGGCCAGAACCUGGUUCCUUCUUCUCAGGCGCUUGAGAUAACAUCUUCACAAGCAUUUUGAAAAUUCCGAAGCGCUGUAACAUGGUGAUUGCAAAAUUGGCUGAUGAGAGAGCUGUCCACUGGAAUGCAAGCUCCAAGAGGCCAGGGAGUUUCGUAUCCUCAAAGCCUAGAACAGCGCCUGGGAUAUGACUGGUCCUUAAUAAAGAACUGAUGUAUGAACGGGUGAAAGAAAAGAGGACCCACGGACAUUUUGCACUCUUGGUGUUUUGACUAGAGUUGUGGGGUUGCCUUGGGUUUCACGCUUUCCUCUGUAUUCUCUCAACUCACCAGUGACCUUCCAAAUGAAACGCCCUGCAAGCUCCUGGAUGCUGGCAGAGUGCCACUGUCUGCCCCGGUCCCAGGAGGCCCUGUGAAGCCAUGGAUGGCCCUCUGCCUCCACAAGACAGGCCCCAGAGACGCUGGGGAGCCCCCUGAACUAAAGGUGGACAUGCAAGGUACAUUUGCUCUGCUUACACUCUCAUUCUGCUCUCUCUUUAAUGUCCUCUUUUUCUUCCGUCUUCUCCUCCACCUCUCUCUAGGCUCCUGGAAGGCGUCAGGACAGUCUUUUCCAGAAUCUAUGAGAACCACUGUCACUAUAUCUUUCCCCCGCCAAGUCCAAACCCCGCCUGUACUAUUUCUUUAAAUUAGCUCACUUUCUCACCUCAAUUUUUGAAGGCUAGCUACUAAAUUUAAAGCCAGUUUCACUUGCCAUAAACAGAAGGCUCACCCAGAAAUAUAAUUAAAAGUAUAUAGUAAUAGAGUUUUAAUUGGAUAUGACAGCUUGCUGCAGGCCUGUGCCUGAGUCCUGCUGUUAGGUUAAGGAUGCUGGAGAACUGUUAAAGACAUACCAGCACCGACGUGAGACUUGCUCCUUGAAAUAGAAACUGGAAAGAGGACCAAAAAAAGAGCUACUUUCUUAUCUUAUUUUUGAAUACAAUGUCUACGUAUAACCUAAGCAUUUCCCACUUUGGGAAAAGGUGCUUUGAGUUUUAGACUCACAAAAGGCAAGGAAGUUUGUUGAAAUCUGAUAGGCCUCAUCCCAUUUCCUUCAAGCAGUGAGUAUACUAUUUACUAACUGUACUCAAAAUCUUUUGGCACAGUGUUUUCUCAUUAUGUGUGCACAGCUUGUGACCAACUACCACAGAGCGGUUCGGAUAUAGGACUCUUCUGUGGAUCACAAGGUGUGGCCGGUGAAUGGGCCUUUGAACGCCAUCUAACCCAAAUCUUGACCUAUCUCCAUUUUCCCGAUAAGAGAAAGGGUUCGAGGCCGAGGGCGGUUUGCCCAAGGUCGCACAGAGGGUGUCUAAUUUUUGCGUUCCUGCCGGCCGGAGAACAAGCUAUCUCGUUCCUCCGGAGGCUUCAG
rnacentral:lncRNA from 1 species